AUCUUUCUAGUAUUAAAUUUUAGUACAAGUGACUUCCAAUCAUUUAGUCUUGGUUAGACCCCAGGGAAAGAUA
rnacentral:tRNA from 1 species